rnacentral:tRNA from 1 species
GGAAGCGUGCCAGAGUGGUCGAAUGGGGCAGUUUCGAAAACUGCUGUAUCCGAAAGGGUACCGGGGGUUCGAAUCCCUCCGCUUCCG